CCCUGAGAAUGGAAAAACAAACGUGAUUGUGCUAAUUCUCAUUCUUCCUUUCUGACAACCAAUUGUGACUGUUCAUCCCAUGCACAUGUCCAUGUAGUCAACUCCCUCAGGCUCACUGAGGGAAAUUUACACUGCUAAAUUUCCAAUUAUUUUGUUACUACUAAAUAUUGUUUGACAAUUAUUUUCCUUUUUACUUACAAUUAUUCUCUUCCAUUCCAGUAACAACUUUAGUUUUUCUUGUCAUUAUCUUAUGUAAUACCACCAGACAAUCGAUGUGUCUAACUUGAAUAUUAAGCUCCCCUCCGAUCCGAGAUUUAUUUUUGCAAUAGCAUGAACGCAAAUGGGGUCAAUGGCUCAGAAAAGAUUUUUCUCUCACUAACAUCUGUCCAUGGAACGUUUGGCUCCUUCAUCUACUCAGAUCUUGCUUGUUCUCUUUCUGAAUCCUUUCUAACAAAAAAAAAACAAAACAAAACAAAAAAACCCCAAACAUGCAUUAAGAGUGUAGUCAAGAAGAACGCAAUUCUGUCAACAUUUGCUGCCUACUUAAACAUUUUUCUUGCAUACCAAAAGCAUGGGACUGGGACAAAAGGACUUUCUGGUUUAGGCGUGGCCGGACCUCUGCAUACAGUAUUGCUUCACUGAACACAGUAUGUUGCAAGAAGGUAAUAUAAAUUCCAUUCUGUGUGACCAGGCAGACCUCUGGGUAUUAUUUUUGUAUCUUGGUUAUUCGGUCUACCUUCGGAACUGCCCUGAUACCAAUAGAUUCAUUGUGAGUGAUCUCAGGUUACAAAGAUAGGAAAGUACAACCUCAAAGCUAUGCUAGCUGGAUUCCCAGGGCACUAGCUAGGCAAGUUAUUGACAGUACAGCUACGGCAGACUCCUACAAGCACACCUGAACUAAAUAAGGAAAAUUCUUAAUCCUGGAAGUUCUUAUUUUUUUCUAAGAAAUGCAAUUAUUUUUUUCCAUUUGUGACUAACUCUGAAUCUUACAGAGCCUCAGAAGCAUAGAGCACGAUUGUGAAUUGUGUUGAACACCAAUUUCAUCAUUUACCCAAUACAGCACCAGGGAAAUAGAUAUACGCUCCAUUUAGUAUCCUAACCUCUGGGAUCAGUUCUGUUCUGUAAUCUGAUUCCUGCACACAUAUGCAUAUCCCUGUACAAACAGGGCUUUCUACUCAGAACUGUACGUAUUGAAAGAGUUCUUAAAAAACUUCUGUGUCGGACAGCUCUCACCUAUUCUGUUACAGCACACUUCACAAAGCACAGUUAUCAGAUAAGCAUCGGUGGCAUUUACCACCUCAGCCUGGGUACAGACAGGUAGUGUGUGUAAGAGCACACCAUCCAAGUCAGAAACAGGAACCCUAGACCAAAUGCCUUGUAGUGCUGUGCUAUGGUGUGCAACCAGUUGGAUCACUGCCUUACUGAUCAGGUCUUGCCUUUUAACUCUCCCAAUUAACAGUUAAUACUCAGUGUUAUCAUUGCAAUAGAACCUGACAGCAACUAUUUUCCAUGGCUAGUAAUACACUGACCUCUCUCCCCGGUUACUUAGCUGCAUCUUGCAUGAGACUUCAGAAAGUCUCCAUUUAUCUUCUGAUACUCUGCUAUCACUGCAUUUGUCUUCAGCUACUUCUCUACUCCUUACACAUGCAACUUCACUUUCAUCUGCUUGUAGACUGAACUCUAAUAUAUUUUCAGAGACUUUCUUCAUCACCAGUGGAAAUAUUACCACCAUCCUCAUCAAUCCCACAUCUCAGUGGAUGCUUCUGCCCACAACCUCUGGGCAGCAAGGAGCUUGCCUCCACAAGGAAACCAAUACCUGGGUGAUGUGGGAUCUGCAUUAAGACAAGGGAGAGCCAAAGUAAAGUAUCAGCUAGGCCUACAACCACAGGACUUGGUCAGAAAGAAGCUCCUUUAACUACACCUAGAAGUUAAUAACAAAGUAGUCAGUAGAGGUAAAAGUGUUCAAGUCAUACAGACAUUCAGUGAGGAAUAUAGAUCAGGAACAAAUGAUAACACCUCAGAUAACCUUCUGUUCUUUGGGACACGUAACUUCUUCAGCAUACAUUCUUUACAAGCGCUCAUGGUGUCUGGACUUCAUUUUGACUUCCAAACUGAAAUGCUGAUCCCCACCUUUCUGGAGUUGAAAUGUACCUCACUGAAGUUACCGUUUAGUGCUUGAGUAGGAGGCACUGCCCAGACAAAUACACAAACAGAAAUGAAACACACUUGCCAAAUUCCUUGUACUGGUGGUAUUGGCAGCAUGAAUAAGCUCAGCAUCUUUACUGUGAAUGAAACAGUCACAGAAUGUACAAACAAACAGUCACUAUGUGUGUAACCAUGGCUCAGUGAAUUUCCUCAAAUCCCACGGGGAUUUCCUGACUUCCUGCUUCACAGCCAACUACCUUUGCUAGGAUAAAAAUCAUACAGUCCAUGCUUUACAAAGGCUGUUGAACAUAACUCAGAUGUGAAGGAAGGUGACAUUACUUUCUCUUCUCAGAUUAUCACAAACACUGGCAAGCAGUUCAAUUUCCUUAGUGGUGGAGAGCUGCAAUUCUACCUGAAUUGAGGUACCAAGCUGCCUUUGGUCCUGUGCACAUUAAUGGGUUAAAAACAGCUAUGACAGGUUCAGCUUUUCCACCUAUAUCAGCAUAACGCUGCUAGCAUAAACAGACUACCAGUACACUGCAGCAUUAAGAGAGAUUUUGAAGCCAUUUAGAUGACACAGUGCGUAAAAUGAUCACAGCUGCCAGCUCUACAAUAGCACUUGCCAGACUGCCAACAUACUGGAAAACACCGUAGGAAAUAUUACUUGUGCAUGUGGAGCCCCUGACAUCAUUUAGAACAGACCAGCAAGAACAAUCACUCCAGACUUUGGUUUCUCUUGCCAAAGGACAGAAAUGCUAUGAAAGAUUUUACAGCGUGGGGCUUUUUCCUAGGAAUAGUGAUGAAAGAUUCACGUAAGACCAAGUCUGCUCUAUGCUUUUUUUUCAUUCUAGUGACUCAGAACACAAACAGUCCCAUGGUUUGGACAGUCUCCUGACCUCUGCUGAAGCACUGGGAAGGCUCACACCUCACAUAUGUGCCUGGGGUUCACUGGCCUAAUUCUGGAAGUCUCAGGAAUCUAAUUCACCACCAGGCUGUUGAAAAACAAGGCAAUCCUCUGGGAAACAGAAAUAUCCAGCAGCAAGAUGAUCAAAGGCGUAUUGUUUUUUGCUGUACCAGGCCAUCCUAUCUCAAAGUCAAGAUUUGGUUUUCAUAUGCUGUUAAAAGUAGCAUUCCUUCCCACCGAACCUCAUCAGGAUGUGGCAGACCAUAAAGGCAACUUAAAUUAAGAAUUUCCCGCUGUUAUUGCUCAUGUUCAGACACAGGAAAAGGCUGUGAUCCUGAGUUAGGAAGUAACAACCAUUAGCAGAAACAACCUAUUCAUUAUUUUUCAAGUCCAUGCAGAUCUACAGUGCAUCUACACACACACAAGUCACAAAACAACAGUGCUAUUGCAAGCAAGAGCUAUCCAAUCAACAGCACUCUGUGACAGUAUUUCAAAUCCCUCCUCAUGAGAAAUAUCCCCAAGAUUUGUUUCAGCAUCUUCGAAGUAAUGGAGAACAGCAGUUUCCUUUCUAACAACAGAAAUCUUAUGCUCAAUCUAGCUUGUAAAGCAAUGGCAAUUGGUACAUAAAGUUCAUGAAGGUAUGUUCUAGAUGGUGGUGAGAAAGUGAACAGACCACAGCUCUCAGUAACACGCAUUCUAUCCACCUAAUGAUGGAGUUCAACAGACUCUCAUGCUGUAAGAACAAAAGCAGUCCUUCAAGCAACUCAGAGCACAUUAUCCCAGUCCCAUUUAAUCCAAAAGAGAACACAUCCAGCAUAACACUACAGUGAAGUGAAAAAUCCCUCUCAUGAGUUAUAUAAAAACUCCACAUUCCCUACAUACUCUAAGUGGAUAAUAAACUACAAUUAACAUAUAUAGGUGUGUGUAUAUACAUACUAUAAUAACAUUAAAAGACAGAACUCCUCCAGCUGCAUAUAUGGGCAAACAGAACAUACACAUGAAACUACAGAAAUGGUAUCAAAAAAACAAAUUCCACACAAGUUUUUAUGUAUACACACUGAAAACUGCUCUGACUCCCCACACACAGUAAGUUAUCACACAGAAAUGACUCACAGCUGAAGUAUGCCCAUUAAGAGAGGUCACUGGCUGGAUUUAGGAUUUUGAGUCAGGAAGACUUGUAAUUUGCAAACAACUCUAAGCCAAUUCAGCUUCUCAGCAACAUAUUGCUGCAGCUAAAAGAAGCAGUGGCCAGCGCAAUAAACUGAAUAAUAUUAUAAAUACAUCUAGCAAGGGAAAAAAAAAGCUCAGAAAAUGCUCAGUAUUUCACAAAGAACAGAUUUUAAUGUACAUUCACUGCUUGAGCCUGCUCAAAAGAAAUCGUCUCCAGGAUUUUAAAAAUCAUGUACAACCCAGUAAACAAAUAAAAUAGUUUAUUUUUACUCUCAUGAUAAAAAAACCCAACAUCAAAACUUCCACAUUAUGUAGAACUCCUCUGAUCAGAUGUAUGCACUUUGUCCCUUACUUAGUCCAUGUAAAAGAACUGGAAGACAGUCUUCAAGGCCUUUGUUUUUCAAGUUAGCAAUUUAAGCACGUAUACAAACAACCCGCUGGAACAUCACUCAGAAAUUGGCUCAGACAUUUUAAAACAGUUCUGUGAUUUAAAAGGCAAACGUGGGAAAGAAUUUACUGACUUCCAAGAAUUCGUAACUUUUCUAAAAUCAGCUCUCCUAAUCAAGAAGCACAUAACCAGAAAUCCAGAAAAUAAUUACAAAUGCAUCACAGCUUACAAUGCACCUCAAACACUGACCACUGUAAGAAUUUUCUUCUUUCUUUCUCACUAGGAACCGCAGCAGGCAGGAUACUCUUUUUUUAACCUCACACUCAGCUUGGCUCAAAAUUUCAAGUGAAGUGCUGAGCUAUACCAUAGCCUUGUUGGCUUUUUCAAAUGUCGACUAAGGCAAACUUUAAUAGCUCAGGUAAACACCACCAUGUAUCCCCCUGAACUCUGACAGGAGAUUGGACUGCACCCUUUCAGUAAUACAAUGAGAAAAACAUCAAUAUUUAUCUUU